rnacentral:lncRNA from 1 species
ACAUAGGCAUCAUUGUUGGUGCAGCUCCCUGAGGAAGCUAGAUAGCAUGAAAAAGAGCUGAGGCAGAUCACGAAGUCAAAGAAUGAAGGUACAAGAGUUUUACGAGCCAUUUUAUGUUGAUUUCUUUAAUUAGAUGGAUCAAAAUAUUUAAAAUGGUCCUUCUCUAGGUCCUAACUUAUAGGUGUUGGAUUGUUUGACGACCUUAAAUAUUUGUUUUCUUACAAGGUGGUGGUAUUUCUUGUGGGUUUGAGAAGCUAGCCUUACUCACAAAUACAUUGUUUUAACAGGCCGCGGAAUUACGGGAUGGACAAACCAUGCCUUCCUGAGCCCAAAGCAGUCUGUGUGUCAUGGAGCUAUUCCACAGCUUUAAAAGCCCCAUCCUUCAAAUCCUGAACAAAAGAAAGUCACAGAAUUAGUUUCUGCAUCAACACACUCCUUGAAACACUUUACCUCAAGUUCCAAACCAAUGCCUGCAAUCUCCUCC